AGAUUGAACGCUGGCGGCAGGCCUAACACAUGCAAGUCGAGCGGUAGAGAGGUGCUUGCGUCUCUUGAGAGCGGCGGACGGGUGAGUAAUGCCUAGGAAUCUGCCUAGUGGUGGGGGAUAACGUUCGGAAACGGACGCUAAUACCGCAUACGUCCUACGGGAGAAAGUGGGGGAUCUUCGGACCUCACGCUAUCAGAUGAGCCUAGGUCGGAUUAGCUAGUUGGUAGGGUAAAGCCUACCAAGGCUACGAUCCGUAACUGGUCUGAGAGGAUGAUCAGUCACACUGGAACUGAGACACGGUCCAGACUCCGUACGGGAGGCAGCAGGUGGGGAAUAGUUGGACAAGUGGGGACGAAAGCCUGACUCCAGCCAUCGCGCGUGUGAGGAAGUAAGGUCGUUACGAUUAGUAAGCGUAACGUUUAAGGUGGAAGGAAGGACUAAGUUAACCUAAGUACGUUAGUUCGUUU
rnacentral:rRNA from 1 species